rnacentral:lncRNA from 10 species
GUCCCGGAUUCCGGUGGCUGCGUCCGCGUCGCCUCUCCCAGACUAGAUCGAAGGGUUCCCCCCACCUCCCCUCUGUGGGCGGAAAGAGCGGAAUGUUCCAUUUUUCUGUGGAAUAACGGGGUCAUGAACUGGAGCCCGGGUGCUGCCCGCCGCCCGCUGCCCCCGCCCUCCCUUCUCGCCAGGGCGCCUGCGGCCUCUCUUCGCGGCCUUCCCCGAGGGACUCAGAGCCGCGAGGGACCGCCUAGCUCCCUUGGGGAUGGGGAAGGCGUGGGAGCCUCUUGGGGAAAGUGAAGAGCUCGGUGGCCGUGACUCCGCACGAGACUGCGGCAGAUUGUGGCGGCGGCUUCUCUCCAAGACUUACGUAAACGAGCCUUGCCACAGUACUUUUUUAAAUUAGUAAAUGAGUUUGGGUGCGAUUGA